UACGUAGGCAGCGAGCGUUGUUCGGAGUUACUGGGCGUAAAGGGUGUGUAGGCGGUUUUCUAAGUUUGGUGUGAAAUCUCCCGGCUCAACCGGGAGGGUGCGCCGAAAACUGGGAGACUAGAGUGCGGGAUGGGAGAGUAGAAUUCCUGGUGUAGCGGUGAAAUGCGUAGAUAUCAGGAGGAACACCGGUGGCGAAGGCGGGUCUCUGGGCCGAUACUGACGCUGAGGAGCGAAAGCGUGGGGAGCGAACAGG
rnacentral:rRNA from 1 species